rnacentral:tRNA from 1 species
GGGUGUGGCUCAGUGGUAGAGUGCUUGCCUAGCAUGUGUGUUGCACUGGGUUCGAUUCUCAGCACCACA